UUGCCUCAGUAACGGCGAGUGAAGCGGCAAUAGCUCAAAUUUGAAAUCUGGCUUCGGCCCGAGUUGUAAUUUGUAGAGGAUGCUUCGGCUUACGUACCGGUCUAAGUUCCUUGGAACAGGACGUCACAGAGGGUGAGAAUCCCGUUUGUGGCCGGCACUUCCGCCAUGUGAAGCUCCUUCGACGAGUCGAGUUGUUUGGGAAUGCAGCUCUAAAUGGGAGGUAAAUUUCUUCUAAAGCUAAAUACCGGCCAGAGACCGAUAGCGCACAAGUAGAGUGAUCGAAAGAUGAAAAGCACUUUGGAAAGAGAGUUAAAAAGUACGUGAAAUUGUUGAAAGGGAAGCGCUUGCGACCAGACUUGCCCGCGGAUGCUCAACCGGUCCUUCGGCCGGUGCACUCUUCCGCGGUCAGGCCAGCAUCAGUUCGGGCGGUCGGAUAAAGGCCUUGGGAAUGUGGCUCUCUUCGGGGAGUGUUAUAGCCCUUGGUGCAAUACGGCCCGCCUGGACUGAGGCCCGCGCUUCGGCUAGGAUGCUGGCGUAAUGGUCGUAAGCGGCCCGUCUUGAAACACGGACCAAGGAGUCUAACAUCUAUGCGAGUGUUUGGGUGUCAAACCCGUGCGCGAAAUGAAAGUGAACGGAGGUGGGAACCUUAGGGUGCACCAUCGACCGAUCCUGAUGUCUUCGGAUGGAUUUGAGUAAGAGCAUAGCUGUUGGGACCCGAAAGAUGGUGAACUAUGCCUGAAUAGGGUGAAGCCAGAGGAAACUCUGGUGGAGGCUCGCAGCGGUUCUGACGUGCAAAUCGAUCGUCAAAUUUGGGUAUAGGGGCGAAAGACUAAUCGAA
rnacentral:rRNA from 1 species